rnacentral:rRNA from 1 species
CCUACGGGAGGCAGCAGUGGGGGAUAUUGCACAAUGGGGGGAACCCUGAUGCAGCGACGCCGCGUGGGUGAAGAAGCGCCUCGGCGCGUAAAGCCCUGUCAGCAGGGAAGAAAAUGACGGUACCUGAAGAAGAAGCCCCGGCUAACUACGUGCCAGGAGCCGCGGUAAUACGUAGGGGGCAAGCGUUAUCCGGAUUUACUGGGUGUAAAGGGGGCGCAGACGGCGAUGCAAGCCAGGAGUGAAAGCCCGGGGGCCAACCCCGGGACUGCUCUUGGAACUGCUUGGCUGGAGUGCAGGAGGGGCAGGCGGAAUUCCUGGUGUAGCGGUGAAAUGCGUAGAUAUCAGGAGGAACACCGGUGGCGAAGGUGGCCUGCUGGACUGCAACUGACGUUGAGGCCCGAAAGCGUGGGGAGCAAACAGGAUUAGAUACCCUGGUAGUC